rnacentral:rRNA from 1 species
UACGUAGGGGGCUAGCGUUGUCCGGAAUCAUUGGGCGUAAAGCGCGCGUAGGCGGCCCGGUAAGUCCGCUGUGAAAGUCAAAGGCUCAACCUUUGAAUGUCAGCGGAUACUGCCGGGCUAGAGUCCGGAAGAGGCGAGUGGAAUUCCUGGUGUGGCGGUGGAAUGCGCAGAUAUCAGGAGGAACACCAACGGCGAAGGCAGCUCGCUGGGACGGUACUGACGCUGAGGCGCGAAAGCGUGGGGAGCGAACAGG